CAUGGCUUUUGCCAAGCGGUGCCAUGUCCACACCCGGGAUCUGAACCAGUGAACCCCAGGCUGCCGAGAAGUGGAACGUGCGACCUUAACCACUGCACCACUGGGCCGGCCCCAUGAUUAUAAAUUCUUAUGUUUCUUUAGUCAGCCAGAAAGAAUUUUCUUCUUAUCAGAGUCUAUGAUUUUCUGUUUAAUGUGUUGCUUUUCUCCACCAGACAAAGCUCCCUGAUGGCAGGAACUGUGUACUGGUUCGUGAUUUUCCUGAUGUAUCUCUAGCACCUAACAUAGAGUAGGUGCUCAACAUUUGAAUAAUUCUGAUUACCACAGCAGCAGCAAAUACCAGAAUUGAGUAUUAUGGAGUUAUUGAUGACUUCAUCAUUAACUGGAGGCAGUACAAGUAGAUGAUGGAGAGCCUGGACUCUGGGGUUGGACGCUAAUCAUUACACCGAAAAGAGUUUGCUGACUCCUGAUGAGAAGUCAUUCAGAUGGGGAGCCGUCUAUAUCCUAUAGAAGCUUUAUCAUAAUUUAGAACUUUUCAAAUAAGCAAAGUUUAUUUACAAUUUAUGAUUUAAUGUUUAGCAAGCAGCUCUUCAUUCAAAUGCUCUAGCUUUACCACAGUGAUUAUCACUCUAAUCUCGGUUGUAACACACAGAAAGGCUGGAAACUAUUCUUAGUUAGACACAAAUUUUUCUCUAGAAAUUGAUGUGUUACUUGUUCCAACUAUUAGUUGCUUACAUGUGUGAACUGGUCAUAAUUUCAAGGGCAAAUAGAAAGUUACAAUAAUGAAUACAGGAGUCACCAAAUGAAGUAUAUGUUUAAUUCCAUAAAAACCAGUUUAAAAGGCUUCCAUGACUGUCCACCCCAUGGCUCUCCCCCCUGAGCAUAAAUUAUCAAGAUGGAGGGUACUGUAGUCCAGGCAGAAGAGCAUGGCUCUGGGAUGAAUUAGAUGCGCGAAGCCACUAAAUUCUUUGGGGCUUGAGUUUCUCAUCUGUAAGUGAAUAGGGACUGAACUAGAUGAUAACUAAAGUCCAUGCCGGCUCUAAAUUCUAUGUAGAACAAAUGUUGCUAAAAGAGCAGAAAACUAUACAAAUGAGAAUAUUAUUUUAUAUCAAGAGCUAUAAUGCUAAAUUUAUCAAGAGGUAUAAUGCUAAUUUUAACAGAGUUAAAUGACUAUACAAACCCAAUGAUAACUGGAAAAAUGAUUACCAAAGCACUGCCCCCAAAGGUUCA